AACGCUGGCGGCGCGCCUAACACAUGCAAGUCGGACGAGAAAGUGGAGCAAUCCAUGAGUACAGUGGCGUACGGGUGAGUAACACGUGGGUAAUCUACCUCUUAGUGGGGAAUAACUCUGGGAAACCGGAGCUAAUACCGCAUAAGCUCGAGAGAGGAAAGCAGCAAUGCGCUGAGAGAGGAGCCCGCGGCCGAUUAGUUAGUUGGCAGGGUAAAAGCCUACCAAGACCGAGAUCGGUAGCCGGCCUGAGAGGGCACACGGCCACACUGGCACUGAAACACGGGCCAGACUCCUACGGGAGGCAGCAGUGGGGAAUCUUGCACAAUGGGGGAAACCCUGAUGCAGCGACGCCGCGUGAGCGAUGAAGCCCUUCGGGGUGUAAAGCUCUUUCGGCAGGGAAGAUGAUGACGGUACCUGCAGAAGCA
rnacentral:rRNA from 1 species